AUGGCAGCCCGCACCGUUUGCCCCACAUGCCUUCUUCCGGAGAUGAGCCGGAAAGAGUGCCGCAGCCUGGGAAAGCUGGGUGGCCCCACACCCUCCAAUCCACGCUGCCUUCUAGUCGUGCCAACUCGAAGCGCCCUUCGGCUGUGCUGCCACGCACGGACCCAGUGCCGUGGGCGGCAAACCCCCUCUCUUCCUCCAGAGCUCCCGCUUCCCUUAGCUCUUUUCAAUGUGGUGAUACCCUCAUUAGCCGGCAGAAAAGGGGCUAACGUCCCAGCCCUCGUUCUGUCGCGUCCGCUGGCUGGAGCCCACGCCGCUGCGUGUGGUCGGGCAGGCACCUGGGAGGAGUCGCCAAGCCGUGUGCUCGGCACACGUGCAGUGUACACAAAGAAACGACACGGAAAUAGAUGCAGGCAGGCUGGUCCCUGCCGUGAUUAACGAGUAACUCCAAGUACAAGGCCAACCACAAUGGGUGCUGCAGAAACUGUAGACUGGGGCAAAAAGAGUUUUUUUUUAUUUUUUUAAUUUCCUUACCCUUUUGUUGUUAUUGUUUGGAGGGGGUGGGAGAGGGUGGCGUGUCUUUUUCUCCCCUCGGAUUUCAUUUGCUCGAGCACACAGAAGAAGGGACUUUUGUUUACUUUAUCAAGAGCGAAAGAAUCGUGAACAUGCUAUAAACCGUGAGAAUUAUUGUUGGUGGUUGUUUUUUUUUUAAGCAGUUGAACAGUAUAUUUGGUGGUCUGUUGGUCUCUUUUUAUUUCUAGUUUGAUCUUCUGGGUUUAGUUUUGUCUUUAAAAAAUAAAAAAAUAAAAAAUAAAAAGACUGAUAAGGACAGUUUUGAGUUGGAAGUGAAACAGUGGAGUCUCCAUAAUCACAGUGGUCCCUCUGAGACCCAGGUAUGUCGUUGAGGGUGAGUGCCCUGCCUUUUUUUCCCAAUGCCCAUUGCAGUUUUGCUAUUGUUUAGGGUAGGUUUUUGUUGUUCUCGUUACAUUUUUGUUUUGUUUUGUUUUUUUAGUGGAAUCAAUGUUCACUCCCUAUGAACUCCGUCCCCUGCAACCCUGAGGUCUUUACUAGAAACCAUUAUUUUCCUCCUUGAAUUUUCUUGAGAAAUGCAGAAGUUGGGACGAUGAUGGGCACAUAUCACCUUGUCCCCUUCUCCCCCGCGCUUGACUCCCCAGAGUAUUGAGGGUGGGGGGCCUGCCGUCCACAGGACCACGUGUCUCACUCCGUGUCUGCGGGCACCGUUGCUUCUGCCGCGUUGAGAAGACCUGUGUCAAAACGUGCGUCCCUCAUCCCUACAUCCUGCAACCCCGUCACCUGCGCUGUUAACCCUAAAAUGCUCGCUGUAUCGAGCUAGUCUUCUGCAUUGAAGUAUUCCCCCCCUUUCGUCGUCCCCACUGCGUGUGGGGGGAGGGUCCAUAAACCUGAGUGUGCCUUUGCUUUCCACCCUUGCUAGACACUGGUAGAUGCAACAAACUCAGAUCUACAUUUGUUGUAAAGCUGUAAAAAUAUUGUGAUGUCACCGAUUCUCUUCCAUUUCCACAUCCCCUAACAUCUGAUUCACGACUUAAUGUAUGUUUUAAAAAAGGAAAAAAGAAAAAAAGGGAAAAAAGAAAAAAAAAAAGCGAGGAAAAGGCUCUUUAUUACUUAAAAGUAAUAAAACCAGACUGUUCUACAUUA